ACCAGGAUGGCCGAGUGGUUAAGGCGUUGAACUUAUAUCUGCGUAGGUUUGAAUCCCGCUUCUGGUA
rnacentral:tRNA from 1 species